GAUUUCUGGUACGGCGCACUUGGCCCGCCGAGGUUUUCUCGGUUUCGUGUGCCGGUGUGCGCCUGCCAUCCUUCUGGGGAACGGCUCUGCCCUUCACUGGGUUUGGGUUCGGUGCUCCAGAUCGUUUACUUUGAAAAAAUUAGAGUGUUUAAAGCAGGCUUGCGCUAUGAAUACAUUAGCAUGGAAUAAUAAUUUAGGACUUUGGUCUUAUUUUGUUGGUUUCUAGGACUAAAGUAAUGAUUGAUAGGGAUAGUUGGGGGUGCUAGUAUUCAGCGGCCAGAGGUGAAAUUCUUGGAUUCGCUGAAGACUAACUUAUGCGAAAGCAUU
rnacentral:rRNA from 1 species